GACGAACGCUGGCGGCGUGCUUAACACAUGCAAGUCGAACGGAGUGGCGAACGGGUGAGUAACACGUGGGUGACCUGCCCUGCACUUCGGGAUAAGCCUGGGCAACUGGGUCUAAUACCGGAUAGUGUGGGAUGGGCCCGCGGCCUAUCAGCUUGUUGGUGGGGUAAUGGCCUCCCAGGCCGGCGACGGGUAGCCGGCCUGGGAGGGUGGACGGCCACAUGGGGACUGAGAGAGGGACCAGACGGGAACGGGAGGCAGCAGGGGAGAAUAUUGCACAAUGAGCGGACGGCUGAUGCAGAGACGCCGGGUGGGGGAGGACGGCUUUCGGGUUGGAAACUCCUUUCACCAUCGACGCGGUAGAUGGAGAAGAAGCACCGGCUAACUACGUGCCAGCAGCCGCGGUAAUAC
rnacentral:rRNA from 1 species